ACGGGAGGCAGCAGUGGGGAAUAUUGCACAAUGGGGGAAACCCUGAUGCAGCAACGCCGCGUGAGUGAUGAAGGUCUUCGGAUUGUAAAGCUCUGUCUUUAGGGACGAUAAUGACGGUACCUAAGGAGGAAGCCACGGCUAACUACGUGCCAGCAGCCGCGGUAAUACGUAGGUGGCAAGCGUUAUCCGGAUUUACUGGGCGUAAAGGGAGCGUAGGCGGAUAUUUAAGUGGGAUGUGAAAUACCUGAGCUUAACUUGGGUGCUGCAUUCCAAACUGGGUAUCUAGAGUGCAGGAGAGGAGAAUGGAAUUCCUAGUGUAGCGGUGAAAUGCGUAGAGAUUAGGAAGAACACCAGUGGCGAAGGCGAUUCUCUGGACUGUAACUGACGCUGAGGCUCGAAAGCGUGGGGAGCAAACAGGAUUAGAUACCCUGGUA
rnacentral:rRNA from 1 species